AUACUCGCCUGGCAGGGGAAAUACCGUAAUCGUGAAGGUGGCUUUCCUAGGGCAAGGCUUAUCUGUUGCGCUCCAAUUGUGCACCCCUGCGAUUUCCCCAAAUUCGGGAAAGUCGACUGUAUAAUCUGUGGUGGGGGGAUGCUUUGUACUUUCCCCU